rnacentral:ncRNA from 2 species
AACCUCUUUCGGGGCGGGGUGAGAUUCCCCACCGGCGGUGACGCAGCCCUCCCCGGCUGCCCAGCCCGCGAAGCCCGCGCAAACUGCACCACGCGCGAGGCCCGACCCGGUGCGAUUCCGGGGCCGACGGUAAGAGGGACGUGACGUCCCAGGCGGCGGUCACUCCCGAAGUCCGGAUGGAAGAAGGAGGAG